AGUGGGAUAGCUGGGUCAAAUGGUGGUCCAUUUCAAGUUUCCCAAGGAAUCUCCAUAGUGCUUUCCUGAUUGGUUGUACCAAUUUGCAGUCUCACUAGCAAU
rnacentral:pre_miRNA from 1 species